AUUGAACGCUGGCGGCAUGCUUUACACACGCAAGUCGAACGGCAUCGCGGACUUCGGUCUGGCGGCGAGUGGCGAACGGGUGAGUAGUACAUCGGAACAUACCUGGGAGUGGGGGACAACCAGUCGAAAGAUUGGCUAAUACCGCAUACCAUCCACGGAUAAAAGAGGGGGCUCGCAAGACCUCUUGCUUUCAGAGUGGCCGAUGCCUGAUUAGCUAGUUGGUGGGGUAAAGGCCUACCAAGGCGACGAUCAGUAGCUGGUCUGAGAGGACGAUCAGCCACACUGGGACUGAGACACGGCCCAGACUCCUACGGGAGGCAGCAGUGGGGAAUUUUGGACAAUGGGGGCAACCCUGAUCCAGCAAUGCCGCGUGAGUGAAGAAGGCCUUCGGGUUGUAAAGCUCUUUUGUCAGGGAAGAAACAGGGGGUGUUAAUACCACUUCUGAAUGACGGUACCUGAAGAAUAAGCACCGGCUAACUACGUGCCAGCAGCCGCGGUAAUACGUAGGGUGCGAGCGUUAAUCGGAAUUACUGGGCGUAAAGCGUGCGCAGGCGGUUUGAUAAGACAGGUGUGAAAUUCCCGGGCUUAACCUGGGGACUGCACUUGUGACUGUCAGGCUGGAGUGUGUCGGAGGGGGUAGAAUUCCACGUGUAGCAGUGAAAUGCGUAGAUAUGUGGAGGAAUACCGAUGGCGAAGGCAGCCCCCUGGGAUAACACUGACGCUCAUGCACGAAAGCGUGGGGAGCAACAGGAUUAGAUACCCUGGUAGUCCACGCCCUAAACGAUGUCAACUAGUUGUCGGGGCUUAAUUGACUUGGUAACGCAGCUAACGCGUGAAGUUGACCGCCUGGGGAGUACGGUCGCAAGAUUAAAACUCAAAGGAAUUGACGG
rnacentral:rRNA from 1 species